rnacentral:lncRNA from 1 species
GGCAGAGGGGAGGCUGGAGAGAUGGCUCAGUGGUUAAGAGCACUGACUGCUCUUCCAGAGGACCAGGGUUCAAUUCCCAGCAACCACGUGGUGGCUCACAGUUGUCUGUAACUCCAGCUCCAGUGGAUCCACCCCUCUCGAAUAGACAUAAAUACCAAUGCACAAGGCAGAUGGGCCUGCCAGACCCAUGUUUGCCAGGCCUGAGCUGCCCAGAGUCCUUUCACUCAGUGUUGGGUGCAUUGGGUUGAUACAGAAGGAAUGUGAGUUAGAUGACGAUGACGCCCUGGGCAACAAAGAGAUGCUGCUUUCUGGAUGAUGGCCCUGGCUCCGGGUUUCACAGGAGGCAGAUGAGGUUUCUCCAUGCGUCCAGUCACAAGUUCAAGUCCCGAGACCCUGGAAUCCAUAUCCUCCUAGAUAGUUGGAAGUAAAGGAUAAAAUUGAUAUGGCCAUAGAGAAGAAGUGAUGUAGAACUUCCUGACACGGCUGAUCAAAUAAGAUUUUAAAAUUGGAAGAUCAUUUCAAGAGAAGACCAACCAAGGACCAUCUAAUUUUCAUUUCGCCAAGAAAAGCCUAAGUAUACAAAAGCUAUGAGUUACAAAUAUAUGUUAAAUAGAAGACAAAGCCGUAAAUGGGACAUCUGUAUUAGCCCUUCUAAGUCUUAGGAAACAUAGGGACAGGGGUGUAAGAAGGGAAGAGUGGGGAGCUCUGUGAAUCUUGUAUCUUCUGAUCAUCGCAUGGUUGUUGGAUUCAUGACCUCACAGCACCUGAACAAGAUGAUGGGACCCAUCAACAAUCCAUCCUGAAUUGGGGGGGGGGGGGCUCAUGAGUCCCCUCCUCUCCUCAAGGAGCUGUUGGCAGUCGAUGGUUGCUGGAGGAAGAGGAUCCAUUUACUCUAGUGACAUAGUUACCGGUGCACUGCACAUGUUCUAGUAAAUAACCCCACACCCAUGCUCAUAAAAGCACCCCUGCUCAGUGUCAGAGGGUCACAGCAAAACAAAACAGCAACAACUGAAAAGACUUGAUUGACAGUGGGAGGAGGACCUCCUGAGAGCAAGGAGCUCAGUGGGAGUAAAGGUAGAUGAGGAGGGUAAAGUGGUUAAAAUGACCAAAAUACUUUAUACGCAAAUAGUAGAGGUUAAAAAAGAAGAAAUAGGGGGCUGGAGAGAUGGCUCAGAGGUUAAGAGCACUGACUGCUCCUCCAGAGGGCCUGGGUUCAAUUCCCAGCAACCACAUGGUGGCUCACAACCAACUGUAGUGAGAUCUGGUUCCCUCUUCUGGUGUGCAUGCAUGCAGAUAACUGUAUACAUAAUAAAUAAAUAAAAUCUUUUAAAAAAAGAAGAAAUAAAUGGCAAAGUGUUUUUAGAAUGAAUCCAG